GGUUAAGCGACUAAGCGUACACGGUGGAUGCCCUGGCAGUCAGAGGCGAUGAAGGGCGUGCUAAUCUGCGAUAAGCGCCGGUAAGGUGAUAUGAACCGUUAUAACCGGCGAUACCCGAAUGGGGAAACCCAGUGUGACUCGUCACACUAUCAUUAACUGAAUCCAUAGGUUAAUGAGGCGAACCGGGGGAACUGAAACAUCUAAGUACCCCGAGGAAAAGAAAUCAACCGAGAUUCCCCCAGUAGCGGCGAGCGAACGGGGAGGAGCCCAGAGCCUGAAUCAGCAUGUGUGUUAGUGGAAGCGUCUGGAAAGGCGCGCGAUACAGGGUGACAGCCCCGUACACAAAAGCGCAUGUGCUGUGAGCUCGAUGAGUAGGGCGGGACACGUGGUAUCCUGUCUGAAUAUGGGGGGACCAUCCUCCAAGGCUAAAUACUCCUGACUGACCGAUAGUGAACCAGUACCGUGAGGGAAAGGCGAAAAGAACCCCGGCGAGGGGAGUGAAAAAGAACCUGAAACCGUGUACGUACAAGCAGUGGGAGCCCCACCACUAAGCCAGUGGUGAACUCCACAUACGCAUCCUUUGCUGAGGAUACGGUUAACGGAGCGAAAGCGACGUUCAACCUCAAAAGAAGCAGAGGGGGCUUAGUGGUGGGGUGACUGCGUACCUUUUGUAUAAUGGGUCAGCGACUUAUAUUCUGUAGCAAGGUUAACCGAAUAGGGGAGCCGGAGGGAAACCGAGUCUUAACCGGGCGUUAAGUUGCAGGGUAUAGACCCGAAACCCGGUGAUCUAGCCAUGGGCAGGUUGAAGGUUGGGUAACACUAACUGGAGGACCGAACCGACUAAUGUUGAAAAAUUAGCGGAUGACCUGUGGCUGGGGGUGAAAGGCCAAUCAAACCGGGAGAUAGCUGGUUCUCCCCGAAAGCUAUUUAGGUAGCGCCUCGUGAAUUCAUCUCCGGGGGUAGAGCACUGUUUCGGCUAGGGGGCCAUCCCGGCUUACCAACCCGAUGCAAACUGCGAAUACCGGAGAAUGUUAUCACGGGAGACACACGGCGGGUGCUAACGUCCGUCGUGAAGAGGGAAACAACCCAGACCGCCAGCUAAGGUCCCAAAGUCAUGGUUAAGUGGGAAACGAUGUGGGAAGGCCCAGACAGCCAGGAUGUUGGCUUAGAAGCAGCCAUCAUUUAAAGAAAGCGUAAUAGCUCACUGGUCGAGUCGGCCUGCGCGGAAGAUGUAACGGGGCUAAACCAUGCACCGAAGCUGCGGCAGCGACACUAUGUGUUGUUGGGUAGGGGAGCGUUCUGUAAGCCUGUGAAGGUGGCCUGUGAGGGUUGCUGGAGGUAUCAGAAGUGCGAAUGCUGACAUAAGUAACGAUAAAGCGGGUGAAAAGCCCGCUCGCCGGAAGACCAAGGGUUCCUGUCCAACGUUAAUCGGGGCAGGGUGAGUCGACCCCUAAGGCGAGGCCGAAAGGCGUAGUCGAUGGGAAACGGGUUAAUAUUCCCGUACUUGGUGUUACUGCGAAGGGGGGACGGAGAAGGCUAUGUUGGCCGGGCGACGGUUGUCCCGGUUUAAGCGUGUAGGUGUGUGUUCCAGGUAAAUCCGGUUCACUUUAACACUGAGGCGUGAUGACGAGGCACUACGGUGCUGAAGCAACAAAUGCCCUGCUUCCAGGAAAAGCCUCUAAGCAUCAGGUAACAUCAAAUCGUACCCCAAACCGACACAGGUGGUCAGGUAGAGAAUACCAAGGCGCUUGAGAGAACUCGGGUGAAGGAACUAGGCAAAAUGGUGCCGUAACUUCGGGAGAAGGCACGCUGACACGUAGGUGAAGUGAUUUACUCAUGGAGCUGAAGUCAGUCGAAGAUACCAGCUGGCUGCAACUGUUUAUUAAAAACACAGCACUGUGCAAACACGAAAGUGGACGUAUACGGUGUGACGCCUGCCCGGUGCCGGAAGGUUAAUUGAUGGGGUUAUCCGUAAGGAGAAGCUCCUGAUCGAAGCCCCGGUAAACGGCGGCCGUAACUAUAACGGUCCUAAGGUAGCGAAAUUCCUUGUCGGGUAAGUUCCGACCUGCACGAAUGGCGUAAUGAUGGCCAGGCUGUCUCCACCCGAGACUCAGUGAAAUUGAACUCGCUGUGAAGAUGCAGUGUACCCGCGGCAAGACGGAAAGACCCCGUGAACCUUUACUAUAGCUUGACACUGAACACUGGUCCUUGAUGUGCAGGAUAGGUGGGAGGCUUUGAAGCGCGGACGCCAGUUCGUGUGGAGCCAUCCUUGAAAUACCACCCUUUAAUGGCUGGUGUUCUAACGUAGACCCGUGAUCCGGGUUGCGGACAGUGUCUGGUGGGUAGUUUGACUGGGGCGGUCUCCUCCUAAAGAGUAACGGAGGAGCACGAAGGUUAGCUAAUCCUGGUCGGACAUCAGGAGGUUAGUGCAAAGGCAUAAGCUAGCUUGACUGCGAGCGUGACGGCGCGAGCAGGUGCGAAAGCAGGUCUUAGUGAUCCGGUGGUUCUGAAUGGAAGGGCCAUCGCUCAACGGAUAAAAGGUACUCCGGGGAUAACAGGCUGAUACCGCCCAAGAGUUCAUAUCGACGGCGGUGUUUGGCACCUCGAUGUCGGCUCAUCACAUCCUGGGGCUGAAGUAGGUCCCAAGGGUAUGGCUGUUCGCCAUUUAAAGUGGUACGCGAGCUGGGUUUAGAACGUCGUGAGACAGUUCGGUCCCUAUCUGCCGUGGGCGCUGGAGAACUGAGGGGGGCUGCUCCUAGUACGAGAGGACCGGAGUGGACGCAUCACUGGUGUUCGGGUUGUCAUGCCAAUGGCACUGCCCGGUAGCUAAAUGCGGAAGAGAUAAGUGCUGAAAGCAUCUAAGCACGAAACUUGCCCCGAGAUGAGUUCUCCCUGAGACUUAGAGUCUCCUGAAGGAACGUUGAAGACGACGACGUUGAUAGGCCGGGUGUGUAAGCGCAGCGAUGCGUUGAGCUAACCGGUACUAAUGAACCGUGAGGCUUAACCUU
rnacentral:rRNA from 1 species